GUCUACGGCCAUACCACGUUGAAAGCACCAAUUCUCGUCCGAUCACUGAAGUUAAGCAACGUCGGGCUCGGUUAGUACUUGGAUGGGUGACCGCCUGGGAACACCGAGUGCUGUAGACU
rnacentral:rRNA from 1 species